rnacentral:rRNA from 1 species
UACGUAGGGUGCGAGCGUUGUCCGGAAUUAUUGGGCGUAAAGAGCUUGUAGGCGGUUUGUCGCGUCUGCUGUGAAAAUCCGGGGCUCAACUCCGGACUUGCAGUGGGUACGGGCAGGCUAGAGUGUGGUAGGGGAGACUGGAAUUCCUGGUGUAGCGGUGAAAUGCGCAGAUAUCAGGAGGAACACCGAUGGCGAAGGCAGGUCUCUGGGCCAUAACUGACGCUGAGGAGCGAAAGCAUGGGGAGCGAACAGG